rnacentral:rRNA from 1 species
CUAAGUUUGAUGGCGACCGGCGCACGGGUGAGUAACACGUAUCCAACCUGCCGAUGACUCGGGGAUAGCCUUUCGAAAGAAAGAUUAAUACCCGAUGGCAUAGUUCUUCCGCAUGGUAGAACUAUUAAAGAAUUUCGGUCAUCGAUGGGGAUGCGUUCCAUUAGGUUGUUGGCGGGGUAACGGCCCACCAAGCCUUCGAUGGAUAGGGGUUCUGAGAGGAAGGUCCCCCACAUUGGAACUGAGACACGGUCCAAACUCCUACGGGGGCAGCAUG